AGUGAACGCUGGCGGCGUGCUUAACACAUGCAAGUCGAACGAGAACGGGUUAUAGCUUGCUAUAAUUGUCAGCUAAGUGGCGCACGGGUGUGUAAUGUAUAGGUAAUAUGCCUCUUACUAAGGGAUAACAAAUGGAAACGUUUGCUAAUACCUUAUACUCCUUAUUAACAGAAGUUAAUAAGGGAAAGAUUUAUUGGUAAGAGAUUAGCCUGUAUUGUAUCAGUUAGUUGGUGGGGUAAUGGCUUACCAAGACUAUGACACAUAACUGGUUUGAGCGGAUCAUCAAUAACACUGGAACUGAGACACGGUCCAGACUCCUACGGGAGCAAGUAGUGGGGACUAUUGCACAAUAGACGAAAGUCUGAUGCAGCAGCGCUGCGUGGAGGAUGACACAUUUCGGUGCGUAAACUCCUUUUAUAUGAGAAGAUAAUGACGGUAUUAUAUGAAUAAGCACCGGCUAACUCCGUGCCAGCCGCCGCGGUAA
rnacentral:rRNA from 1 species